GACGAACGCUGGCGGCGUGCUUAACACAUGCCAGUCGAACGAUGAAGCCUAGCUUGCUAGGUGGAUUAGUGGCGAACGGGUGAGUAAUACGUGAGUAACCUACCUUUAACUCUGGGAUAAGCCUGGGAAACUGGGUUUAAUACCGGAUAGGACAAAUCUCCGCAGGGGGGGUUGGGGGAAAGCGUUAUGUAGUGGUUAUAGAUGGGCUCACGGCCUAUCAGCUUGUUGGUGAGGUAACGGCUCACCAAGGCGACGACGGGUAGCCGGCCUGAGAGGGUGACCGGCCACACUGGGACUGAGACACGGCCCAGACUCCUACGGGAGGCAGCAGUGGGGAAUAUUGCACAAUGGGCGCAAGCCUGAUGCAGCGACGCCGCGUGAGGGAUGACGGCCUUCGGGUUGUAAACCUCUGUUAGCAGGGAAGAAGAGAAAUUGACGGUACCUGCAGAGAAAGCGCCGGCUAACUACGUG
rnacentral:rRNA from 1 species